GCCUGGAAGUUUUGAAGCAAGGGAAUAGCAGUUUUUCCAGUCAGUGUAGACCAGUCAAUGAAUGCCUACAUACCACUUGAGUUCUCCAAAGAAAUACUGAAUUUAAUCUUCUCUAACAGAGAUAUAUCAACUAGCAACUACACUUCUCAUCCUAAUGGAGUUAUCUGGAUUCAGUGGCAAGACAUAGAUUUGGAUGACUGAAGAUGGCUCUGGAUAUAGUGGGAAACCCUUGAAGAUCUUUAACAGCAGCAAUAUCCAUCACUCAUUAAGCCUAGAAUGUUACAGAUGAGGGUUUUCAAUGAGUGAAGAAUACAGGUCUAAAUUUGAGUGGAUCUCCUACAAACUGAAAUCUCAUGAAAU